UUGACCUCGGAUCAGGUAGGUCCCCGA
rnacentral:rRNA from 1 species